UACGUAGGGUGCAAGCAUUAAUCGGAUUUAUUGGGCGUAAAGGGCGCGUAGGCGGGGAGGAAAGUUAGAUGUGAAAUCCCGGGGCUCAACCUCGGAACCGCAUCUAAAACUUCCUUUCUAGAGGAUGAGCGGAGAAAAUGGAAUUCCACGUGUAGCGGUGAAAUGCGUAGAUAUGUGGAGGAACACCGGUGGCGAAGGCGAUUUUCUAGCUUAGACCUGACGCUGAGGCGCGAAAGCAAGGGGAGCAAACAGG
rnacentral:rRNA from 1 species